AGAUCAAAUUGUUGGUCGUGCCUUGGUACGUACUGGCAUUAUUGGUUUCUCCCUUCUGAAGAACCAUGAUGUCAUUAAUUUGGUGUCAUGGGGAAUCAGGACUGUUACUUUGAAAAAAUUAGAGUGUUUAAAGCAGGCUCGCGCUUGAAUACAUUAGCAUGGAAUAAUGAAAUAGGACGUUUAAUUCUAUUUUGUUGGUUUCUAGGAUUGACGUA
rnacentral:rRNA from 2 species